rnacentral:rRNA from 1 species
ACACGACUACAUUAGAUACCCGCGUAGUCCUAGCCGUAAACGAUACUCGCUAGGUGUCGGCCACGGUGCGACCGUUGUCGGUGCCGUAGGGAAGCCGUGAAGCGAGCCACCUGGGAAGUACGGCCGCAAGGCUGAAACUUAAAGGAAUUGGCGGGGGAGCACAACAACGGGUGGAGCUUGCGGUUUAAUUGGAUUCGACGCCGGAAAUCUUACCGGGACCGACAGCAACAUGAAGGCCAAGCUGAAGACUUUGCCGGAUUAGCUG